rnacentral:misc_RNA from 1 species
GAACGCACAUUGCGCCCCAUGGUAUUCCGUGGGGCAUGCCUGUUCGAGCGUCAUCUACACCCUCAAGCACUGCUUGGUGUUGGGCGUCUGUCCCGCCUUUGCGCGUGGACUCGCCCCAAAGUCAUUGGCAGCGGUCUCUGGCACCUCAACGCGCAGUACAAUGCGUUCAUUGGGGUGCCGUGGGCGCGACCAUAAAGCUAUUUACCGUCUUUGACCUCGGAUCAGGUAGGGAUACCCGCUGAACUUA